ACGAUAACUCCAGAACAGCCAGAGAAGCGCAAACAACAUCAAAGUAAACCCAAUAAGUGCGAAGAAUAAUUAUCUUAUAUUCUAAACCGGAACGAUGGAAAUUCCAAUGUACCUCAGAUACAAUAUUUAGUCGAUAAACUAAAACGGGAAAUAAAUGGAUUAAGAAUUAUUAACAGAAGCAAAAGAGGUCUCUUGAACGUAGUACGGAAGGCAUAUAAGUACUUAUUUGGUACAUUAGAUGAAGACGACAGGGAGGAGCUAAAGGAAAAAAUUAAUAACAUGCCAGAAGACUCCGUGAAAACCCAUUAUCGACUUAAUCAACA